UUGACAUGCACAGAGUGACCUGACGCAAUGUGAAAAGCAUUCUCUGUUUUUGAUGCAUAAAGUAGAUUGGAGGAGGCAAGGACAAAUAUAAGAAUAUCAGCCAAGGGAAGAAAUGAUAGUCAAAGGGUGAACAUUGCUGAGUGAGCAAGCUGGAAGCCAUGGACAGGGCAUGGGCUGUUUGUGGAUUUGCUAUUUUGGAGGAGAACAGCUUCUGGUGAAGACAAAAUCCUAGAACCUGUGACGUGAACUCUUACUUACAAAUGCGCCAGGAUGUGGAUUGGAUAAGGCAGAGCUCCUCUGAAGAGGCAGGCAUGAGGGUCAGAGUGGCCGAUAUCUACUUCCUGACCCUAAGGUGGUCGCUGAACCUGGCCAUGGAACCCCAGGCACCUCAGAAGGGACACAAGAGAACACUCAGGGAACCAGAUGGCUCUGAGACCCCCUGAGGCCUUCUUCCCAUUCCAACACCAUAUCUCUUCAAACCUCAGUGGCCCAGCUGCAAGGGCAUUCAAAGGACAAUAAGAUCUUCUGAUCAUUUUUUGUGUUGGAUAGGGCAGCAUGAUAAUGUGACCCAUUACUGUGGGUAAUGACAUAGAGAAAGAAAUUCACUGGGAGUGAGCUGUGUGAGGAUGCUGAAGACCUCUGAAUGGUGAGAGUGCAUUUCAAAGUUCACAAGUUGCUUUUUCACGCAUCACCUCCCUCACAACAAUCCCGUGUAUAAUCCCCACCUUCCGGAUGAGGAAACGGAUGCAGG
rnacentral:lncRNA from 10 species